rnacentral:lncRNA from 1 species
UUCCCUUCGCAUAACCGACUCUCGAUCCUAUCAAUCUCUGGUCGCGAGACCAUCCCUUUCCAGGUUUACUUCGAUCGUUUCCUUUCCCUCCUUUGGGAUAAAUAAUGCACGGUGGCGGCUCUGUUUCUUUUUCCCGCCGAUUUUUCGCGUAAUGCGACACCUACUUCAAGAUGAACAGUUGUUGACACACAUAUGUGCUUGAUCUGAAAUCAUGGAGAGAGC